UGGGGAAUAUUGGACAAUGGGCGAAAGCCUGAUCCAGCCAUGCCGCGUGUGAGAAGAAGGUCUUCGGAUUGUAAAGCACUUUAAGUUGGGAGGAAGGGCAGUAAGCGAAUACCUUGCUGUUUUGACGUUACCGACAGAAUAAGCACCGGCUAACUCUGUGCCAGCAGCCGCGGUAAUACAGAGGGUGCAAGCGUUAAUCGGAAUUACUGGGCGUAAAGCGCGCGUAGGUGGUUCGUUAAGUUGAAUGUGAAAGCCCCGGGCUCAACCUGGGAACUGCAUCCAAAACUGGCGAGCUAGAGUAGGGCAGAGGGUGGUGGAAUUUCCUGUGUAGCGGUGAAAUGCGUAGGUAUAGGAAGGAACACCAGUGGCGAAGGCGACCACCUGGGCUCAUACUGACACUGAGGUGCGAAAGCGUGGGGAGCAAACAGG
rnacentral:rRNA from 1 species